GAUCCCUGUGGGUAUGGCCCUAAGAAGAAAAAUUGCACAUGAAAGUAUAAAAAUACUUAAGUUUCAUAGUUGAGGAAAAAUAAACAGGUAAGGAAUUAAGAUCCAUUAAAAUACUCCGUAGGAGUUCCCUGGUGGCUUAGUGGGUUAAGGAUUCGGUGUUGUCACUGCUGUGGCUUGGGUUCAAUCCUAGCUCCAGAACUUCCACAUGCUAUGGAUAUGGCAAAAAAUAAAUAAAUAAAAUACUCUGUUAAUUUUAAAUAUAUAUUAUAUGUAAGAGACCAGCUUUGGGCAGUGAUAUAAUCCCAGCUGCAGGCUUCUUUCUUUCCUUUCUUUUCCUCUUCAAUUUCUCCACCUUCAAAAACCUAACCCUCACCAACUAUAAUGGAAAAAAUUAAAAUCAUUAAAAAAAAACAAAACGGGAAUUCCCGUUGUGGCGCAGAGGAAACAAUCCGACUAGGAACCAUGAGGUUGCGGGUUUGAUCCCUCCCUGGGUUAAGUAAGGAUUCAGUGUCAUUGUGAGCUGUAGGCCGAAGACGCGGCUCGGACCUGGCGUUGCUGUGGCUCUGGCGUAGGCCAGCAGCAGCAGCUCUGAUUAGACCCCUAGCCUGAGAACCUUCAUAUGCCGAGGAUACAGCCCUAAAAAGACAACAAGACAAAAAAAAUCCCCACAAAACCUUACCCUAGGAGUUCCCUUUGUGGCUCAAUGGGUUAAGAACCUGACAUAGUGUUCAUGAGGAUGUAGGUUUGAUCCCUGGCCUCACUCAUGGGUUAAGGAUCCAGCGUUGCCGUGAGCUAUGGCGUGGGUUGCAGAUGUGAUUCGAAUCCCGCGUUGCUGGCAGCUACAGCUCUGAUUUGACCCCUAGCCUGGGAAUCUCCGUAUACCGCGGGAGUGGCCCAAGAAAUGGCAAAAAGACAAAAAAAAAAAAAAAAGAUGUUUACCAAAUGGUUUGGGAGUUCUGCUGUGGUGCAGCGGGUUAAGGUAGCUGCUAUGGCAUGGGUUCGAUCCUUGGCCCAGAAACCUUUUCAUGCCAUGGGCGCAGCCAAAAAAAGCCUCCCCAAAACAAAAAGGGAUGUGUGUACAUGUAUAACUAAAUCACUCUGUUGUACAGCAGGAAUGAUCACAACAUUGUACAUCAACUAUACUUCAACAAGAGAGUUCCUGCUGUGGUGCAGUGGAAACGAAUCCAACUAGUUUCCUUGAGGACUCGGGUCCGAUCCCUGGCCUCGUUCAGUGGGUAAAGGAUCUGGCAUUUCCAUAAGCUGUGGUGUAGGUUGCAGACUGGGCUCGGAUCCCGAGUUGCUGGAGCUGUGGUGUAGGUCGCAGAUGAGGCUUGGAUCCAGCGUUGUUUUGGCUGUGGCAUAGGCUGGCAGCUACAGGUCUGAUUCUACCCCUAGCCUGGGAACCUCCAUAUGCCACAAACAAAAAAAAGAGCUACUUGAUAGGUCUUAAUGAGAUAAUGUAUGUGAAGUGCCAAGCACAGUGCCUGGCACAUAAUAAACUCUCAAAAGCAUUACUAAUGGUUCAACUCAGAGCUUUUUUUUUUUUUUUUGGUCUUUUUAGGGCCGCAUCUUCAUCAUAUGGAGGUUCCCAGGCUAGGGGUGGAAUUGGAGCUGUUGCUGCCAGCCUACACCGCAGCCACAGCAACUUGGGAUCCAGGCAUCGUAUGCAACAUUUACCACAGCUCAUGGCAACGCUGGAUCCUUAACCCACUGAGCAAGGCCAGGGAUCAUGAAUACUAUCAGAUUCGUUUCUGCUGAGCCAUGGUGGGAAGUCCAACUCAGUGCUCAAAUAUUCAUUGAGAGCCCCUGAAACUGCUCUUCUCUCUGUUUGGAAAUUUGCUUGGUAAAUCUGUACUCAUUCUUGAAAAUUUUCUUUAACUGAGCCUGAUGCCCUGCUCUCUCUCGUGUUCAUCAAAAUAAAAAUACCAAACUUGGAGUUCCUACUGUAUUGCAAUGGGAUUGGCAGUGUCUCUGCAGCACUGGGACACAGGUUUGAUCCCCAGCCUGGCACAGUGGGUUAAGGGUCUGGCACUGCCACAGCUGUGGUGAAGGUGGAGAUUUUGGCUUGGAUCUCAUCUCUGGCCUGGGAACUCCAUCUACCAGGGGGCAGUCAAAAAAAAAAAAAAAAAAAAAAAAA
rnacentral:lncRNA from 1 species